rnacentral:rRNA from 1 species
CCUGACGACCAUAGCAAGGUGGUCCCACUCCUUCCCAUCCCGAACAGGACAGUGAAACGCCUUUGCGCCGAUGAUAGUGGACGGACGU